rnacentral:snRNA from 1 species
UUACUGCCUUUCUGUUCGUCAUU